AACGGAGUAACUUAUGGUUAUGACUGAGUCGACGCCCUUCCCUAGUAUCCUUCCGCCGAACGUGACGUCACACACCAAAACAAAGUAGUCCCAGAACCUUUUCUCAGCUUCUCCUUUAAAGAUUUAAAGGCACAAGAUGCGGCGCUAAAGGACCUUCGUCUUUAUACCGGUAUCGAAAAAAAUAUAUAUAAAAAAUUGAGAAACGCAAACCAGGAACGGAAAGGCGGAAGGAUCCGGCUCCGAGGCUGAGCCAGCACCUCCAGGCAUCCUCAGAGGGAGGAAAAAAUUGGACAGUUGAUCCAGAGCCAGCACUGAACUCAACAACAGAAAUAAGAAAAAUCAACACUGGUCCUCUGUUUGUCUCAUUGUGCCUGUUUUCAGGAACCAAAAGCUUAGGUCUACCUGCCAUGCCCCUAUAUCCAUCUAUUUGCCCAUCCUUCCUUCAAUGUACAUGGGCCAUCGUUUACCCAGGUAACUGGCUCCUUAGCAGCAAGUCCAAGUUACCAGCUCUAGCUCCAGCUCAGCAUAAUUUACCACACUUUGCCUGAUGUACAAGACCCACAAGUCCAACAUUUGUGGACUGAAGAUGAACAAACACAUGUUUGUUCACUGCAGAUGCUCUAUAAUUGGAUCCAUCUUAUAUUACUUCAAGGCUUUCUUACAGUAGAUAUUAUCACUGUAUCAAGAUAGAUCACCCUUAAAGAUGGUCCAGUCCCAAAUGCUUACAACAACCUAGAAUUAAACAUAGGUGACAAAUAACAUAGAGAAGUCAGGAAAAAUUCUUCAUAUCAGUGUUUACAGGGGAAUAUGGAGGCUAAGAUGGAAACCUUCAAGGCUUUGUGAACAAACCAACUGAGAGACAUAGAUGAAAUUUGAAAAAAGAAAUGAUCCUGAAUUCUCUCUCAACAAAACAACUAAAAAGAGAUCAUUGUGUAUUCUGCACAUGAGAUUAAAUGGCUUCUUAGACUUUACAAUAAUAUUUGGCCAAGUGGAAGUCAGAAAGAAAAGAGGGAGGCUGCAUUACAGGUGAAGUGAGUCCGUCACGGAAACCACAGCUGCCUUGAAUUUGUAUGUUCUCAAGGAGGCUGCUAAUAAAAAUCUUUGUUUUCUCUC